rnacentral:rRNA from 1 species
GAUGAACGCUAGCUAUAGGCUUAACACAUGCAAGUCGAGGGGCAGCGCAUAGAUAGCUUGCUAAUUAUGUCGGCGACCGGCGCACGGGUGAGUAACGCGUAUCCAACCUGCCCAUAACUAAGGGAUAACCCAGCGAAAGUUGGACUAAUACCUUAUGUAUUCGUUUGAUCUCAUGAGAUUACGAAUAAAGAUUUAUCGGUUAUGGAUGGGGAUGCGUCUGAUUAGCUUGUUGGCGGGGUAACGGCCCACCAAGGCAACGAUCAGUAGGGGUUCUGAGAGGAAGGUCCCCCACAUUGGAACUGAGACACGGUCCAAACUCCUACGGGAGGCAGCAGUGAGGAAUAUUGGUCAAUGGACGCAAGUCUGAACCAGCCAAGUAGCGUGCAGGAUGACGGCCCUAUGGGUUGUAAACUGCUUUUAUAUGGGGAUAAAGUGGGGAACGUGUUCCCUUUUGCAGGUACCAUAUGAAUAAGGACCGGCUAAUUCCGUG